UAUGGAGAUGACGUAUAAUAGGCGUGUCGACAGUAUUACAUUAUCAAAGAUUUAAUGACUUUAGAGGAAAAUACACAUUCAAAGGAUUUAAAAAACUGAUUUAGUUUUAUUUAAAAAAUUGAGAUUAAUAAGAUUUUCAAUAAAAUAAAAGAGUAAAAUACUGCAAUCGGCCAUUUUGACUGAAACGCCAAUCACAGCGCAUGACGUCAUACUUAUGUACGCUUCACUGUGUUUUGAUUACCUUACAUACUGAUUGCGCGUUACGAUUGAUAUAUAUUUGUUUUUGUGAUUUAUCGACUUUAUAACACGAAUCUAUCUUUAACAAUGGAACCAGGUUUUGUUAAGGCAAACAGUGCAAAUUUGCCCAGGAUCGAUUUAUUGAUGUUGGGCGAGUUCCUUGCAACAAAUAAAGAAUUUUGCUCUUCCGAAUUUAGAAACGUGAAAACCUCUCUGUAAGUUUAUUUUAUUAGUAUUUAUCUUUAACUCUCUCUCUCUCUCUCUCUCUCUCU